CAAACUCUUACGCAUUAAACAGCGAUUACCAGCUUCAUAGCGGGUUCAUAUUAUCCUACACAAAGCAUUGCCCAAUGGCCUACUACAACCUGCUCACAUCUCUCAAUCGGUACCACGAGGACUAUAGGCCCUUCUUUAGUCAACAUUAAGAAUCACUUGAAACUGCAGGCUGUCGUGUCAUACGACUGUAGCACCGAACAAAACACGUGUUUUGUUCGCACGUGCACGUGCGUACGGCAGACUAUAAAAGACGAUUAUAAAAGACGGUAAAAUGAACAUGACGCUAAAAUGUCGUGACAAGGCGCCCUCCAGGUUCCUGAUCACUGCCCGCGGUCUGCN
rnacentral:lncRNA from 1 species